UAUCAUUAAUAUUCUUGUUAGUUGAUAUCCAUCAAGUGGUUUAAGUUUGUAUCUAAGAAUGAACUUGUGAAUUAUCAAUUGUCAUAAGAUUAAUCCAUAAAUGAGAAAGAAAAAAUGGCAUUGCAGUCAGUUCUGGGUUCUAAAGAUGUUUCGUGAGGUCUUCCUUCUCCUUCCACAUCCUCAUUGCCUCUUUUUGACCCAUUGAGAUUUGCAUAUAGACAUCUUCUGGCUUUAGUAAGGUUGUAGCCCAUUCCUGUUUACAUGCCUAUCUUUUUGAGUGUAUUCUACAAAAGUUAUAUUGCCUGCUUUCAUUAGUGUGAACUGUCUACCCUAUUGUCCUGAUCUUUAUAUUCCACCUGAAGGAUUUCAA
rnacentral:misc_RNA from 1 species